rnacentral:tRNA from 1 species
GGGCGCUUAGCUCAGCUGGUUAGAGCACUGCCCUUACAAGGCAGGGGUCACAGGUUCGAACCCUGUAGCGCCCACCA